rnacentral:rRNA from 1 species
UACAGAGGUCUCGAGCGUUGUUCGGAUUCAUUGGGCGUAAAGGGUGCGUAGGCGGCGGGGCAAGUCUGAUGUGAAAUCCCGGGGCUCAACCCCGGAACUGCAUUGGAUACUGCCUUGCUUGAGUACUGGAGAGGAGACUGGAAUUUACGGUGUAGCAGUGAAAUGCGUAGAUAUCGUAAGGAAGACCAGUGGCGAAGGCGAGUCUCUGGACAGUUACUGACGCUGAGACGCGAAAGCGUGGGGAGCAAACAGG